rnacentral:rRNA from 1 species
GACGAACGCUGGCGGCGUGCUUAACACAUGCAAGUCGAACGGAAAGGCCCUGCUUUUGUGGGGUGCUCGAGUGGCGAACGGGUGAGUAACACGUGAGUAACCUGCCCUUGACUUUGGGAUAACUUCAGGAAACUGGGGCUAAUACCGGAUAGGAGCUCCUGCUGCAUGGGGGGGGUUGGAAAGUUUCGGCGGUUGGGGAUGGACUCGCGGCUUAUCAGCUUGUUGGUGGGGUAGUGGCUUACCAAGGCUUUGACGGGUAGCCGGCCUGAGAGGGUGACCGGCGACAUUGGGACUGAGAUACGGCCCAGACUCGUACGGGAGGCAGCAGUGGGGAAUAUUGCACAAUGGGCGGAAGCGUGAUGCAGCAAUGCCGCGUGCGGGAUGACGGCCUUCGGGUUGUAAACCGCUUUCGAAUGUGACGAAGCGUGAGUGACGGUAAUGGGUAAAGAAGCACCGGCUAACUACGUG